rnacentral:misc_RNA from 1 species
AAUUCGUAACAAGGUUUCCGUAGGUGAACCUGCGGAAGGAUCAUUAACACACCCCCCCCGUGAACUUUCAAUCCUGCUCUUGUAACCCGCGUAGUUCGCAAUCUCUGGUAAAUCAUAGCCCGGAAAGUUGUUUUGAUCAGAGACCUGAGAACAUUGGAACAGUUACAAUCGAGCGGUAGUUUCAUAGGCAUUGUUUCCCCAAGCAGUCAGUGUCGGAAAGUGUCACUGAUUGUGCAAGGAUAGCGCUUCACGAUUCCUGUAGACCGUACACUCGGGCAGGAGCUAUGCCAAAGGGUCCCCAUGCCCCCUUAUAACCCCACAGUUUAAUGUAAAGCUCAAUGUAAUACAUUGGGUAAAAAAACCGAACAACUGUUAACAAUGGAUAUCUUGGUUCUC